GUAUUCACAGGCUUGUGAUGAUGGAGCUGUGGCUGGAUUUUGGGUCUGAGCAUACUACUCUCGGUAUUUGGAGACCUCCGUAAGAACCUAUGAUAAUAUCCAUUGAAAAUGGUACUGCUUUCAUUUAUGACUUUAAUAUAUUUUUAAUAUUCAACCUGAUUACACUUUUAUCGUAUAAACUGUUGUAUUUGCUUCCUGGGUGGCUUUUUUUUCUGAGAUGAGUCUUGUUCUGUUCCCCUGCUUGGACUUCAUUGGUAAGAUCUCGGCUCACUGCAGCCUCCGCCUCUUGGGUUCCAGCGAUUCUCCUGCCUCAGCCUCCUGCGUAGCUGGGAUUACAGGCAUAUGCUACCACGCCCAGCUAAUUUUUGUGUUUUUAGUAGAAAUGGGGGUUUCACCAUGUUGGCCAGGCUGGUCUUGAACUCCUGACCUCAGGUGAUCAACCCACCUAGGCCUCCCAAAGUGCUAGGAUUACAGGCGUGAGCCACCUUGCCUGGACUGGGAUAGCCUCUUGAUUUCAUUUGUCCCUUCUGAAAGUAAGUAAUAUCUCAGCUGAAUUGAUAUGAUGUCUGGGUUUUGCUUCAAAAUAAUCUGGGGGUGAGUGAAAUAUAUAUGAAACAAAAUUGGCCAUGAGUUGUUUUUCUUUGAAGCUGAGUGAUGAGUAUAGUCCUGUACCAUAUAAUGAUGUUUCAGUCAGUGACAGCCUGCAUUUAGAAUGGUGGUCCCAUGAGGUUAUAAUGCAGCUGAAAAAUUCCUAUCACCUGGUGACAUGAUACUGUCAUACUGCCAUAACACAAUGUAUUACUCAUGUGUUUGUGUUGAUGCCUAUGUAAACAAACCUAUUGCACUGCCAGUUAAAUACGAGUAUAACACAAUUAUAUAUAGUAUAUGAUACUUAAUAACAAAUGACUAUGUCACUAGUUUAUGUAUUUACUAUGCUAUUUUUCUUUAUUUUAAAGGGUACGCUUUCUACUUAAAAAAUAAACUUAACCGUAAAACAACUUUAGGCAGGUCCUUCAGGGAGGUAUUCCAAAAGAAGGCAUUGUUACAGGAUAUGACACCUCUAUGUGUGUUAUUGCCUCUCAGCAACUUUCAGUGGGAGGCCCAUGUGGUGGCUCAUACCUGUAAUCCCUGCCCUUUCGGAGGCCAAGGUGGGAGGAUCCCUUGAGGCAGGAGUUCAAGACCAGCCUGGGCAAGGUAGCAAGACCCUGUCUCUACGAAUCAAUUUUUUAAAAAACUAGUCAGGCAUGGUGACACAUGCCUGUAGUCCUAGCUACUUGGAAGAUUGAGGCAGGAGUAUCACUUGAUCCCAGGAGUUCCAGGUUGCAGUGAGCUUUAGUCACGCCACUGCACUCCAGUGUGUGUGACAGAGUGAGACCCUGUCAAAAAAAAAAAAAAAACUUAACAGUGGAACAAGAUGUGGAGGUGUAAGACACUAAUAUUAAUGACCUGACCCCGUGUAAUCCUAGGCUUACGUAGUUGUGUCUUAGUUUUUAACAAAAAUGUUUUAAAAGUUUUUAAAAAUUAAAUUUUUUAACAAUAGGCCGGGCGUGGUAGCUCAUGGCUGUAAUCCCAGCAUUUUGGGAGGCCAAGGUGGGCGGAUCACUUGAGGCCAGGAGUUCGAGACCAGCCUGGCCAACAUAGCGAAACCCUAUCUCUACAAAAAAUUUAAAAAAUACAAAAAUUAGCCGGGUGUGGUGGUGUGCACCUGUAAUCCCAGCUACUCAGGAGGCUGAGGCACGAGAAUCUCUUGAACCUGGGAGGUAGAGGUUGUAAUGAGCUGGAUCCCACCACUACACUACAGCCUAGGCGACAGAGUGAGACUGUGUCUGAGAAAAAAUAAAAAUAAAAAUGGGCCACGCUUGGUGGCUCACGCCUGUAAUCCCAGCACUUUGGGAGGCUGAGGCAGGUGGAUCACGAGGUCAGGAGUUUGAGACCAGCCUGGCCAACAUGGUGAAACCCUGUCUCUACUAAAAAUACAAAAAUUAGCCAGGCGUGGUGGUGGGCGCCUGUAAUCCCAGCUACUUGGGAGGCUGAGGCAGGAGAAUUGCUUGAACCCAGGAGGCGGAGGUUGUGGUGAGCCGAGAUAGCGCCAUUGCACUCCAGCCUGGGCAACACAGCGAGACUCCAACUCAAAUAAAUAAUAAAAUAAAAAUGGAUAAGAGCUUAUAGAAUAAGAAUAUAAAGAAAGAAAAUAGUUUUUAUACAGUUGCACAACAUAUUUGUGUUUUAAGCUGUUAUUACAAGAGUUUAAAAGUUUAAAAAACUAAAGUUUAUAAAGUAAAAAAUUACAGUAAGCAAAGGUUAAUUUAUUAUUGAAGAAAGAAAAAUUUGUAAAUAAAUUUAUUGCCUAAGUGUACAGUGUUUAUAAAGUCUACAGUGGUGUAUAGGAAUGUUCUGGGCCUUCAUAUUCACUCACCACUCAUCCAGUGACACCCAGAGCAACUUCCAGUCCUGCAAGCUCCAUUCAUAGUAAGUGCCUUGUAUGGGUGUAUCAUUUUUUUUUAAAUCUUUUAUACCGUAUUUUUACUGUAACUUUUCUGUGUUUAGAUAUGCAAAUACUUAUUGUGUUAUAAUUGCCUAUAGUAUUCAGUACAGUAACAUGCUGUACAGGUAUGUAACCUAGCAGCAAUAUGUUAUAUUGUCUAGGUAUGUAGCAGACUACAACAUCUAGUUUGGUGUAGACUCUUUGUUCACAGGGUGACAAAAUUGUCUAACAAUGCAUUUCUCAGAACAUAUCCUUGUCAUUAGGCAGUGUGUGACUGUACUUGGGAGUUCACUGUGUUAUCUGCUCCACUUUGGUAUGUGGUUGACAUUUUAAAUAAUAUUAAUAAAAAAUGUAAACAUUUAAAUUGAAAAGAACAUGUCAGUAACUGGUCAUAUGUGACUAACCAGUCUACUUUGUCCACAAUUCUCCUCACAGUUCAUAGUGUUAAAUAUUAGUUCAAAUCAUUUAAUUAACCUUAAAGGCAGGAUGGCUUAUUGUUAAGCCUUAAUGGAUCUGAGUGAGACUUUCUGGGCUGGAGCAUUAGCACAAACUGGAAAAUAAAGCCAAACAGCCUACUAUUGCUAACCAAGCAAAAUGGGAAGGGUCGUUAUGUUUGCUCUUCACUUUAGUCUUUUUAGAAAUGAAAACUGAUUGGAAACAGAAUUGAUUCUACAUAAAUUAGCCAACAGUAACAAUUGUGUUUGACCAUGUCCCUAUCAGUUCUCUAGUAUAAAAAAAAAAAGUCAUACCUGCAUUUUCAGUGUGUAUUCUUUACUAAAAUGGCAAGAGGAGUUGGAACAAGACAUUUUUAACCCUAUAAUUCUGAGAUUCCCACCCUACUCUCUAUUCAGACAAAUAUGCCUUCAAUAAUUUAGCCAAAAUUUCAUAUUCAUUGUGUCAGUCCAUUAUCUCCUGUAUGUAUCAGUGAACUUAGAGUCAAAUUCAUUACCCAAUCAUGACAGACUUUUUUCAUCUAGCAGAACUGAAACUCUAUACCCAUGAAACAUCAACUUCCCUUUCCUCCUUUUCCCCAGACCCUAAUAACCAUCAUUCUGCUUUCUGUUUCUGUGAAUUUGACUACUUCAGAUAUCACAUAUGAGUAGAAUCAUACAGUAUUUGUCUUUUUGUGCUUGGCCUGUUUCACUUAGCAUAAUGCCCUGAAGGUCUAUCAGUGUUGUAGCAUGUGACAGGAUAUCUUUCCUUGUUAAGACUGAAUAACAUUUCAUUGCAUGUAUAUAGCACAUUUUGUUAAUCCAUUCAUCCGUCCAUGGACAUUUGAGUUGCUUCCACAACUUGGCUGUUGUAAAUCUUGGCUAUUGUAAAUAGUGAUGUUACGAACAUGGGUGUGCAAAUAUCUUUUAGAGACCCUACUUUCAAUUCUUUUGGAUAUAUACGCAGAAGUGGGAUUGCUGAAUCAUAUGGUACUUCUACUUUUCAAAUUUUUUAGGGACCUCCAUACUCUUUUCCAUAGUGGUUGCACCAUUUUACAAUCCCACCAACAGUGCACAUGGGUUCCAAUUUUUCCAUAUCCUUGCUAACACUUGUUAUAUUCAGGCUUUGUUUUUGUUUUUGCUUUUAAAUGAUAGCUAUCCUAAUGGGUGUGGUUUUGGUUUGCAUUUCUCUGAUGAUUAGUGAUGUUGAGCAUUUUUUCAUAUACUUGUUGGCCAUUUGUGUAUCACCUUUGGAGAAAUGUUACUACCUUUGAUAUACUGUCACAUCAGGAGAUCUGCAUAAAAGGUCAAACCCCAAGAGGAAAUCUUUAACUUUUGGGGGAUAUAAUUUUAAAUUAUCUGUCAAGUUUGAAUGGGGUUAUUCCUUAUACUUAAAAGAGUUAUAACAAUCUUACAAGUAUGACAUCUUAGUCAGAAUGGGCCUUAAACACAUCCAGUCCAAUCUCCUGACCCAACAAGAAUAUAAGUGGAUUUCAUAGAGUAAAUUUAUAUAUAUUUCAAACAUAGAAAUCAUUUAUAAAAGCCAUUAAGAGUUGGUAUAAAAGGAAUAUACCUGUGAAACUGAACAACCAAUACACUUGAAUGUAAGAACUUGAAAAGAGAUAUGGAAAAAUGGCUACCAAAUGCCCCCCAAAAUACAUUAUUUCCUUUAUUGUCUUUUAUUUAAAAAAAUUAGGACAGCUAUAUUUGCAGUCAUCAUCUCCUGAAAAUAUAAUUAUUAAUUUUUUCUGUUCUGAGCACUUUCUAAUUUUUCUUUUAUCAUCAAAAAAUAAUAAGUACUAUUUUUAAAAUUGUUAAUUUGUUAUCAAGGAGAUCAGUUUUCCCAAAGUGUGGUCCAGUCAUCUGGAUCAGAAUUGUCUAGAGAUAUAUUUAAAAUACAGAUUCCUUGGCCAAGUCCCAGGCUUUCUGAAUCCGGAGUCCUUGAUGUUGAUGGUAUGGCCCAAGAAUUAGCAUUUUUAACAAAUAUCCACUAUGAGUCUCAUGCAUAUUAAUAAGGUUGACAUUUCUUUAGGAGGAAAAAAAAGUGUCCGGUGUGUACUUUGAAUAUGGUCUGGAAUCUCUGUACUCAACCUUCUGUUAGUUUGUAAACAAGUCAAAAAGUGCACUGGAUUCCUGGGAGAUAUGGCCAUGAUCCCUUCUCCAGCAGAUCUGAAUUUUCUUGAUUUCCUAAUGAGAGAGCUGUCUAAGGAUGUAAAAAUUGUGCUGUGAAAACCAGAUAAGACCAAGUAGUGGAAGUGACCUUGGGUCAUUCAAUAGCAAUUAUGGGCAAGUUAAACCUGACCACCUGGCCCCUGCUGAUCACCUUCAUAUUGCCCUGCUAGCCCUAAGUUACCUUUAACCGUUUUUUUACCUGCAGGUGGAAAUGUUAAUAUCUGUCAUACCAGGUUGUUAUUUUUUUAAGUGCUAGAAACCAGGCACUGGCAUUAAUCUGUGCCUUUAGUGGUAUAUUGUGGAUUAGUCACAAAGAACUUUGUGUCUAAUGAUUGGUACUGUUACAUAAAUUAUAACAGUAACUAGCAUUUAUUCUGCACUUAUGUACUAGAUACUGCUCUAAGCAUUUUACAUUAUUUAAUUUUUAUCCUCUCAACAAUCACAUGAGAUACAUAUUAUCCCCAUUUUACAGAUGAGGAAAUUGGGGCUUAGAGAAGCUCAAGGCUCACAGAGCUGGAAAGUGAUGGAGUCAAAACUUGAACCCAGAAUCCCCAAGUUUAUCAACUUCACUAUACCAUCUCUUUCCACAAACUUAUUUUCUCACCAACUAAAUGUAUAUAAUAAUUUAUGUCAGGCUGUCUUAUUAACUACAUUUUUUUUAACUCCUAAGGUAUUUGUUUUUACUCAAUCCUUCAUGUAUAAAAUUACUUUGCUAAAGAAAUGAAGGAAAUCAGUAUUUUCACAUUUACUUGGAGAAUAAUAUCUUGUGUAUCUUAGGCAAAAAUGAAAACAAUAAUUUAUCUAAAGGGUCAUGUGAAUUCUUGAAAAUAAACAGUGCUGUAGAUCUUUCUGUGGCAUACAUCCAUGGAUGUAAAAGUAAGAGAGGGAAGAAGGAAUCACAUCACCCAGGUAUGAUGUUGAAGGCUAUAAAUGAAUCAAAGAGUUAACAUUUAACAAUAGGAUCAUAUUUUAACACCAUUUUCUUUCUUUCUUUUUCUUUUUUCUUUCUUUUUUGAAGGGGGUGAGGAGGGGAGGGACUGGGGCUGAAGAGUAAGGGCGGGGGAAGAAGUCUCCAUAUUUUAACAACAUUAAUCCAUCCACAUCAUUUAAUAUAUAAUACACCAAAGGCAGAAUCUCCCUGUACCCUGGUCACUUUCUCAGGAUGCCCAUUGUAAUGCGCUACAGGCUCUUACUGUCCUCCACAGUUUCCUAGGAGUUGAUUGUUUUCUUAGCUUAUGCUGCCACUACGUGCUGCUUUCCAUUAGAGGGGAAUCUUCUUCUGUAGGACUUGGGAAUCCCUUCUGUAGGAAGGGAGCAAAGUGUCCCAACAUCUCCCCUAACUGGACACCUCUCUAACUCCAAGCAAACAUAUUGUUCUCAGAGGUUUUCUGAGGAUUCCUGUGUGGUAAAGACAAAAAUGUUUGCAUGAAUAGCAAGACUCCCUCCAUAUUUUUAUCUUGACCAGUAAAUGAAAACAUGGGUUUAAAUCAGCUGUAUGUGUGGAUUAGAAAACAAAGUUGACCAUUGCCUAUAUAUACUUCAUCAUUGAGUCCAUGUUCUUCUAUGAUCAAGCAGAUAAACAGUUUACCUGUUAGUAUUUGUUAAAAAGCAGUGAGGGGUGGCUGGGCGUGGUGGCUAAUGCCUGUAAUCCCAGCAUUCUGGGAGGCUGACGUGGGUGGAUCACUUGAGGUCAUGAGUUAAGACCAGCCUGGCCAACAUGGUGAAACCCCGUCUCUACUAAAAGUACAAAAAUUAACUGGGUGUGGUGGUGCACGCCUGUAAUCCCAGCUAUUUGGGAGGCUGAGCCAGGAGAAUUGCUUGAACCCAGGAGGCAGAGGUUACAGUAAGCCGAGAUCGCACCACAGCCUAGGUCACAGAGCGAGACUCCCCAUCUAAAGAAAAAAAAAAAAAAGCAUUGAGGGGUUAUCCAGCUCUGUAACUCAAAUCUCUGGUGAAAGUGCUGUUUGACUGGAAUGUGGUGAGCAUAUUGGGCGUCUUCAAGACUCAAUGAAUGGGGAUUGAGUGCUUAGAUACUCUAAAGAUUAUCUCAAAAUAUUCUGUUAUUGCUCAUACAGUUCCUUCUUGUGGUUGGAGUAUUCAGAAGAAGAAAUGUCUACUUACAACUUUAUUUUCCUCUCUGAAUCUACAGAUUUUAUAAAAAAUAAUGGGCAUUUCUAAGUUUGCUCUUCAUGAAUGUGUUAACAAUACCCCAAGCGACUGCUUCAAAAACCAAUUUGUUUCAGAUUAUUAUAACAGCCAUGUAAAUUUAAGUAUGAUGUCUCAGGCAAAACUUGGUUAAUGCGGACAUGAAGUUGAAUAUAUAAAAUUAAUGACAGAUAUUAAAAUGUGUAAAUGCAAUUGAUUUUUUUUUUCCAGUCUCACUGUCGCCCAGGCUGGAGUGCAGUGGCACAAUCUGCAACCUCCGCCUCCUGGGUUCAAGUGAUUCUUGUGCCUCAGCCUCUGCAGUAGCUGGGAUUACAGGUGCCUGCCACCAUGCCUGGCUAAUUUUUGUACUUUUAGUAGAGAUGGGUUUCACCAUAUUGACCAGGCUGGUCUCAAGCUCCUGGCCUCAAGUGAUCUGCCUGCCUCGGCCACUCAAAAGUGCUGGGAUUACAGGGGUGAGCCACCAUGCCCGACCUAAAUGCAAUAGUUAACAAUUUACAAUACCAUUAACCUUAACAAGGCAAGAUUUUGCCCAUGCCCAUGUUAUUCCCUGAAAAUUUGGGCACCACUGGAUGUCCAGUUAAUCAGUAAAGAUGAUAGAGUCACAAGUUGAGAAAUGAUCCUAUAAGUGUAGUAAAAGUGGUAUAAAAGAGCCUCAUUGACCGGGCGCAGUGGCUCAUGCCUGUAAUCUCAGCAUUUUGGGAGGUCGAGGUGGGUGGAUCACGAGGUCAAGAGUUUGAGACCAGCCUGGCCAAUAUGGUGAAACCCCGUCUCUACUAAAAAUACAAAAAAUAGCCAGGCAUGGUGGUGCGCGCCUGUAGUCCCAGCUACCUGGGAGGCUGAGGCAGGAGAAUUGCUUGAACCUGGGAGACGGAGGUUGCAGUGAGCCGAGAUCACCCCACUGCACUCCAGCCUAAGUGACAGAGGGAGACUUUGUCUUAAAAAAAAAAAAAGCCUCAUUCAGUUUAUGUUUGCAUGAAAUAUGAUACAUAGUAUUACCACAUUCAGGCCAUAUGAGUAAAUUAUACAUCCUCCAAAAUUAUAUAUAUACAUUUGUCUUUCAUUUACUUAUGACCAUUUACUCAAUGUUCUGUUUUUAACGUGUUAGCAUUUUCUUUCAUUAUUCCAGUUAUUAAUGGUUGCAUUUUCUGGAAUCUCUUCUUAUUAAACUUGGGUAAAUAUAGAAUACAUUUGAAAAGAACAGACCAAGAGAGAACUUCUGAAAGAAAUUCCAUUCAAUCAAGCAAUCAAAGAACCAUCCAGUGUGUCAAUAUUCAAUAAUCCCCCAAAACCUUUGUCUCCUGUCUCACAAUGACACUGUCAGCUUCAAGAACAGGAAACCAUCAUCAGAGGCUUCUUCCUAGAGACUGCAACCCCAUGCUUUCCUUCCAGCAUUGCCCCAUCCACUCCAACUGGGUCCUCCUUCUUCAUAGGUCCACCGUUUCUUUGCUCUUUGUCUUAGUUUUGGUUCCCCCAGAAGCCAGAUCCUAAGGCAUUAAUAUGUACACAAGUAGCUUACUUGGGUAGUGAUCUCAGGAAAUAUGGGCAAGGGAAGUGAGACAAAGAGGGAAGGCAAUCAAUAAAAAGGGCAUGUUUUCAAGUGGGUUAGUACUGUGGGUAAUGGACUUAAUCCCUCUGGAGAAUUUUGGGUACCAGUGUAAAAUUCAUGCCUCUGAGUUACUCUACCAGAGUAGCAAAGGAGCUGAAGUAUUCAUACCCCAACUCCUAUCAAUCAUUAGUUAAAGGCUGCACUUAAGGCAUUACAUCUCCUCAAACCUAUGCUCACAUAUGGAGCUCCAGCCACCAGAGAAGGCCAUUAAGCAAGAUGGUCCAGCUGCUGGCACUUGGUAAGGCUCAGGAGACAUGGGCAGGGCACCAACUGUAUCUGCCACACUGCUAUCUGUGAUCCCAAUCUAGUACACUAAGACCCAUGAUUAAAAGCCAGGGAUUACAAAAUAGGAAAGAAGAUCAAAGGCUUUGGAGUCAGACUGAUUGGUUUCAAAACCUGAUUUCUUAACCUUUCUAAGCUUCAAAAUUCCAUAGAGGAUUGUUACGGAGAUUGAAUAAUGUAAUCCAUGUAAAAGUAUCCAGUAUUGUGACUAGCACAUAGUACAUAUUCCCAAAAAUGCUAGUUAAUAAUAUUAACACCUGAUCCCCUCAUGGAGACAUAAAACUGAACAGGACCUACUUUGUUCUCUGGCCAGAUUGCCCAGCAGGGACCCAGCAAUUCCAGUUUUGCUACUGGCAUAGCAUUUACACUGGUGUCGGUGAGCAGAACUGACUAAAGGACUGGGCCUCAGUUCAAGUAGUCAUCAAGAUAUGGCCAGAUGAAGCCCUGCAUUGUCAUCAGUGCAGAGUGGGUUGCUUCAAGCUGCGUGGGGCUCUAUGGAACCCGGAAGAGUAGAUGGAUCUCCUAAGGAAGGAAUAGGUUCUAGAGCAAGCCCACCUGGUGGUCCAACUUAGCCUCUUUACACUAUUUUCCUACCCAGCCACUCAGUCUAAGUUUUUUAAUGUUUAUGAGAAAAAGGGAGAAAAGAACUAGUACUUAUCCUUCUCAAUAUCAAGUUCUAAUGCAGCAAUAUAACUGCCCUUCCAAUAAGCAAAGUAUUUUUGGAAUUCCUUAGUUCAAAUGAAAUUACAUGGUUCACAUGCUCAAGGCAUUUUUUUCCAAAUGUUUUUCAUUCCCAGUCAGUAGAGACCAGACUUUUGGAAAAACUCAAACUUUCAUUAAAGCUCAGCCAUGCAGGAUAUAAAAGCUGGGUGGGUCCACUUUGAUUUUGCUUCGUUGCUAACCAUUUCCACUUAACUGACAGCAAGAACAGAUUUUUGGAAGAGAAUGCAAAGGGCAUGGAGAGGCCCGUGACAUCACAUAAAAACUCUAGCAAAAGAAAACUUAGAGAAGAAAAUUUACUGUAUUUUCCAAACAGCAGAAAACACUAAUUUUUCAAUUUUUAAUAUAGAAUCUGAAAUAAAUAUAUAGCAAAUUUAUUUCAGUACAAUAUGGUAUUUUUCUAAAUCACUGAUCAUGAAGACUACAGUUGAAAUACCAAAUUUUAAAAAACAGCCACUAAUAUUUAUAGACCCCUAAUAAAAAUAUUGCCUUCCCUUGGAAAACCAAACAUCAUAUGUUCUCACUCAUAAGUGGGAGAUAAGCUAUGGGGAUGCAAAGGCGUAAGAAUGACACAAUGGACUUUGGGGACUCAGAGGAAGAGUGGGAAGGGGGUGAGAGAUAAAAGACUACAAAUUGGGUUCAGCGUAUACUGCUCAGGAGAUGGAUGCACCAAAGUCUCACAAAUCACCACUAAAGAACUUACUCAUGUAACCAGACACCACCUGUUCCCCAAAAACCUAUGGAAAUCAAAAAUUAAAAAAUAAAAAUAUAGGAAAGUGCUUUGUACAUGUCAAAAAAUGUUGCCUUUCUUAAUAAAAAUAAACGGUUCUCCAAAGUUCACUGGAAGGAGAAUCUCCACAUGGGGAAGAAUAGCUAGAUCUUACAUCCUGCUAAUUUUGUCUUCCCUUGGCCUGUGGGGGAGGGCGCUAUUCCCCUCUUUACUAUUGUCCUAAGACCAGGCAGUGGACUGGUUUGAUCCCAAGAACACUCCCUAAUAAAAUUCCUUCACCCCAAUCUCUGUCCAGACUGUGCUUCACUGAGAACCCAAUUUGUGGCAGUUACCCAUGGCCAAAGUACAUAGACCUUAACACUUUAACUCCCCAAGUCUAGACCCAGAAAAGUGAGAACAAGAAAAAGUCAAAGCAGCUUAUUGACUGUGUGGAAGUGGCUUUGUUCAAUUGAUUGGUGGUGGUAAUGAUCACUCCUUUACAGGAGGAAGUUAGCCUUUCUCUUUUGAGGUUUCUACAUGAUAACCAUAUUGGAAUAUAUCCCAAUAGGUAGAGUAUCCAUAAAAUUGUGAGUUGUGGGUUUUGGGGGCAUUUUGUUAUACGCUAUCUUAGAAAUAGAGUCCAAAUCAGUUAAUAAAAAAGAAAAGGGAGAGUGACAAUAUUAUUGCAUAGAAACGAAAGAAGUACUGAUACAUCUCACUUUGUAAAAAAAGAAACACAUUUCAGAAAAAGUUAGCUAUGAAUUAUAUUUUUAUAUUAAAUUUUAUUUUAAAGUCAGUAAUGAAACACACCAUCUAAAGAUUUUUAUGACAGUUUUUUGCAGCGAAAAGCUUACAAAUUUACAUUAUUACCUUCCAAUUUGUUAUUUUGUGAAACUAAAAAUGAUAAAAAUUUCUUUUUUUCUUUUUUCUUUAUGAAAAGGGUUUCCCACUCAAAAUUUAUUUUUAUCAUUUAAAAUGAUAAAUGAUUAAAAUUUUUUUAUCAUUUAAAAGUGUUACUCUUUUAAAUCACUGAGAUGAUUUAAAAUAAAGUAUAUUACUGAAAAUCUUAAAACCACAGCAAGACACUUAAUAUAAAAUUACAUUAAACUCUAAUUAGUUUCUUUUGGCCCAAUAUUUUUAGAUAAAGAAAUUACUUCAAGUUGCAUAUGCUAUAAUGUUCUUGAGAUUAGCCAAACUUUUUCGCAGUACUGGAACUUUGUUGUAUUAUUAUUGCUCAAAAUAAAUUCAUUGACAAAGAGUUAUUAUUAUCUCCCUAACAAUUUUAUUUCUAAGGCUAUGUUUUGAUAAUGGUUUUAACAUUCAUCCUGGAUGAGUGGCUAAGAAUCUGGAAAUGAAAAUUAGGAAUGUACUUAUCCUCUUCUGCCAAAGAGUGUUUUCUUUUUCCCCCAGAUUAGUAGUCACAGAGUAACCAUGGAUUAUGGUUACCAAAUUGGUACCAAAUUUGGAUCUCGUAUGGAGAACUCGGCCUUAGCUCGAAUGCAGCAAUUCACAUUUAAAUAAAAUGAAUAUUUAGAUGCUGUGCUCAAAUUUAGAUAAGAGUAUAUUGUAGUGAUUCUGGGGGAAAUCAGUCUUAAGAUCACAUCUAUUUGCAGUGGAAUGAGGAAUUUCCUUUGGAGAAUAAUUAGUAGAACUAUUAUUGCAAAGCUGCCUAAGCCCUCUUAUGUGAUAUAAUCAGAGGCAACUGGCAAAAGAACAUGAGUCAAGAAUAUCCCUCGGACAGCCUGUACCUAGAUCAAAAAUACUGACGUGCACUCUCUUACGAAGAGUUUCAGAUGCAUAAGACUUUUUUUUUUUUUAAAAACAGGCUUCUAGGUAACAAGUCACUUCACUUCUCUGGGCCUCUUAAACUUCUCAUAUGAAAAUAGACUAGAUGAACCUGGAGAGACAUUUUCUGCCUGAUGUGGAAAGUGAAAGUGAAGAAAUUAGCUGUAUUUCCUAACACUCAGGAGGUAGGUGCAGGGUCCAUAGCUCCUCCAGCUCCUGUGGAUCUUAUGCUUCAGCUUCUCUAACUCUUGGGUCAGAGGUGUGUUUAACUCCUCCUCCACCAGAGGUUUGGAGGUGGUGAGAGACCAAUGCAGAUUCCAGUCCAUCCUCAUGGAUUCCAGUUUGUCCUCGCUUCCUGCUCUCUACCUCCUGACCACUGGUCCUGUGAACUUCAGCUCCAGCACUAGACACAGAAACAACAGCCUCCCCUAGAGAGUAUAACCAGCUUCCACAAUUGCAUACAGUCAAGUCUCUAAAUCCGUUUUGUCAAUUUAUCUUAGUAGUUCUACUUCUAUGAACAAACCUUGACUGAUUACAUUUGGGUUGUUAUGUUUUUAACAAAAAGUGCUACUGUGCAUAUUCAUGUUCAUAUUUUCUGGUGCACUUGUGCAAGCAUUCCUCUACAAUAUAUACCUGAGCUUACAUAUUGCUGGAUUGUAGAAUGUACAGUACUUAACUUUGUAAGAUAAUGCCAAAUCCUAUUCCAGGGUGGUUGUGCCAAUUUAUGUUCACACCAGCAUUGUUUAAGAGUUCCCGUUGAUCUGUCUUUGGGAAAAAUUAAUAUAGUAAUAUUUCUUUUUAAAUGUUUUUUAGAGACAGGGUCUCACUAUGUUGCUCAGGUUAGAGUCAAACUCCUGGGCUCAAGUGAUUCUCCUACUUCAGCCUCCUAAGUAACUGGGACUACAGACAUCCACCACUGCACCCAGCAGUAAUACUUAACUUUAGUUCAUCAGGAGAGUAUAAUAUGUUUACUCAUUAUAAUCUUAAUUUACAUUUAUAUGAUCACUGUGAAGUAGAGAAUCUUUUCAUGUAUUUUUUCUUCAUUCAUAUUUCCUCUUUUGCAAAAUGACUAUUCAUGCCUCCCUUUUUUGUGGCAUUGUUUGUCAUUUAAUUAUUGAUAAAUAGAAAGAGUUCUUCAUGCAUUCUGGAAACAAAUCCUUUAGUGUUAUAUGCAGUGGUGUACUGGAGCUGGCUUGUGUAGACUCGUCUGAGAGAUUUUGUGUAUGUCUUCCUAACUUCAUGUUUAGCAACAUCAUGUUGGUGGCUUGAAAUAAACUUUUCCACCUUGAAAAGAAUCAAACCCAACAAAUCAUGGCUUUUUUCAUCUCUGCAAAGCUAGGUUUUUAAAACAUGUAUGGGCGUACCACUAGUUAUAUAUAGCAAAUAUCUACUACUGGCUUGUCGCUUGUCUACAAAUUCUUGUUUGGAGUAUUUUGAAAAAUAGAAAGUCAAAUUUGUUAAUCUCUUCAGUUUUAGAUAAGUUUUUUGGGGUGUUUUGUGUUCUCAGUUUCAGACAAGCCUGUUUUUGUUUUGUAUGUGUUUUCUUUACCCCAGGAAACUAAAGAUAUUAUCCUAUAGAUGUUUAAAAUAUCAGCUUUCACAUCCAAGUCUUGCAUGCAUCUAGAAUUGACUUACGUAUCAUGUUGGGUAGGAAUCCAGUUUCAUUUUUCCCCAUAUUCUCCCAGCACCACUUAUUGACUAAUUCUCCCUUUCUUGAUUAUAUACAAUACCACCUCUGUUAUAUAUGAUGUCCAAAUAUGUGUGGCUCUGUUUCCCAAGUCUCUACUAUACCAUUAACCCAUUUGUGUAUUGCAGCGUUAAUACCACUCUCUUAAUUAACUUUGUAAUCAAAGUCCUCAAACAGGAUAAAGCAUACCUCCUACCUUGUUCUUCUCCAAAAGAGUCUUUGUUAUAUUUUUGACCUUUGUUCAUCCAUAGGAAUUUUAGAAUCAGCUUCUUAGUUUCUUGGGAAAAAAAGUGUGAUUUGGCAUCAAAUUACACUGAAUCUGUAGGUCAAAUUGGGAAAAACUGGUAACUUCACAAUAGAAAGUCUUCGUUUUGAAUGUCGUCUUUUAUUUAUUUCUAUAGUAGAUCUUCUCUGAUGUUUAUCAAAUAGAGUUUUAGAAUUUAUUCCAUAUAGGUCUCCUAUAACUUCAUUAGAUGUAAUUUAUACUUUUUUGUUGUUAUGGUGUAUUAGUCUUUUAUGCUGCUAAUAAAGACAUACCAGAGACUGGGUAAUUGAUAAAGAACAAGAGGUUUCAUAGACUCACAGUUCCACGUGGCUCGGGAGGCCUCACAAUCAUGGCAGAAGGCAAAGGAGGAGCAAAGUCAUGUCUUACAUGGCAGCAGGACAUUUUUAAAGAUUGGAAUGAUCUCGUUCUUGAAACCUAGGUACUCUAUGUUGAAGAUGCCUGGACUAACCUACUGAAGAUACGUGGUUUUACCAACAGCCAGCACCAAUAGGAAGAUAUGAAUGAAGCCAUCUGAGACCAGCCAUCUGGCAGCCAAACUGCCAACUGACUGCAAAUGCAUGAAUGAUCCCACUGACACCACGUAGAGCACAAAUGAGUUGCCUCCACUGAGCCCAGCCCAAAUUGUUAUCCUAUAAAAUCAUAAAAACAUAAACAGUUGUUUUAAGUCACUAA